UGGAGAACAGCAGGAAGGAUUAAAAAAAAUACCUCUCUGUGAAAGAGGGCAUGGUGCACAUAUCUGUGAGUUGCAGCAGAGUGGAGAACAAAAAGGUUGCUGUUCAGAAAGGGAGGCAGAAUUAUAAAAAGCUUAAAGGCACAGAACAUGGAAAAACCUGCUGCAAACCCCAUCACCAGGAGAAAGAAAGGCUCUAUCCCUGUGACAUUGUUCCAGGACUCAGGCUCAACUUGACUGGGCAGUGGAGCCUGAGAGACAUGUGGAAUCUCAGAAUGGAGUGGCUGAGAAGCUGGCACUGGAUCUUUCCCUGGUUCCUCCUAAUCUCCACUCACUGCAUCAGCUUGGUCUCCUUUUCCAGGCAGGAUUUCUGCAGCUGGGCAGACAGUUCCAUCCAUCUGUGAUGCCCUGAGGACUCUCACCUGCCUUCUGCUCCCCACAGAAAAGGUCCUUAACAGAAGAAGGUGCCGAGAAACUACAGCACAAGGUAACAACAGGAGUUGCCUGUUAGAUUCAUCCCUGAUUAAGGACCAAGAUGUGCUGUCCACCACCCCAGAAAGGUAAAAAGCCUUGGAUGUUCCACGGGAUCCGAUGUGUGUUGGCAGAUUUCUUGGCUUUUCAGGCAAAAAUAUUUGUCACUGGCUUAGUUUUCUCGGUUUGCCAGAAGUGAAGCCUUUUCAGCUGCCUCAUUUGGUUUAACUGAUGACUCAAAAAUGUUGGUGGGAACGGGUGUCUUUUCCUCCUCCUUUCAUUCCGUGGGAAAAAUACAGCCUGAGGAAUUCCAGUGCCUUGAGAGCUGAUGGAGAACUGCAAUUUUGAGUUUGAAAACAGCAAAAUGAAAUUUUCCCAUUCUGCAAAGCAAUUAGA